rnacentral:rRNA from 1 species
UACGGAGGGGGCUAGCGUUGUUCGGAAUUACUGGGCGUAAAGCGCGCGUAGGCGGAUCUGCAAGUCGGGGGUGAAAUCCCGAGGCUCAACCUCGGAACUGCCUUCGAUACUGCGGGUCUCGAGUCCGGGAGAGGUGAGUGGAAUUCCUAGUGUAGAGGUGAAAUUCGUAGAUAUUAGGAAGAACACCAGUGGCGAAGGCGGCUCACUGGCCCGGUACUGACGCUGAGGCACGAAAGCGUGGGGAGCAAACAGG